GACUUGAGGAAGGUAGGGGAGAAUGGAAUUCCUGGUGGAGCGGUGGAAUGCGCAGAUAUCAGGAGGAACACCAGUGGCGAAGGCGGUUCUCUGGGCCUUUCCUGACGCUGAGGAGCGAAAGCGUGGGGAGCGAACAGGCUUAGAUACCCUGGUAGUCCACGCUGUAAACGGUGGGUACUAGGUGUGGGGUCCAUUCCACGGGUUCCGUGCCGUAGCUAACGCUUUAAGUACCCCGCCUGGGGAGUACGGCCGCAAGGCUAAAACUCAAAGGAAUUGACGGGGCCCCGCACAAGCGGCGGAGCAUGCGGAUUAAUUCGAUGCAACGCGUAGAACCUUACCUGGGUUUGACAUGGAUCGGGAGUGCUCAGGGAUGGGUGUGCCUCUUUUGGGGUCGGUUCACAGGUGGUGCAUGGCUGUCGUCAGCUCGUGUCGUGAGAUGUUGGGUUAAGUCCCGCAACGAGCGCAACCCUUGUUCACUGUUGCCAGCACGUUAUGGUGGGGACUCAGUGGAGACCGCCGGGGUCAACUCGGAGGAAGGUGGGGAUGACGUCAAGUCAUCAUGCCCCUUAUGUCCAGGGCUUCACGCGUGCUACAAUGGCUGGUACAGAGAGUGGCGAGCCUGUGAGGGUGAGCGAAUCUCGGAAAGCCGGUCUCAGUUCGGAUUGGGGUCUGCAACUCGACCUCAUGAAGUCGGAGUCGCUAGUAAUCGCAGAUCAGCAACGCUGCGGUGAAUACGUUCCCGGGGCUUGUACACACCGCCCGUCAAGUCAUGAAAGUUGGUAACACCCGAAGCCGGUGGCCUAACCGUUGUGGGGGAGCCGUCGAAGGUGGGACUGGUGAUUAGGAUUA
rnacentral:rRNA from 1 species